AUUGAACGCUGGCGGCGGGCCUAACACAUGCAAGUCGAGCGGAUGAACGGAGCUUGUGCCUGGCUUCCGCGGGGGACGGGUGAGUGAUGCACAGGAGUCUGCCUUGCUGUGGGGGAUGACGUCUGGAAACGGGCGCUGAUACCACAUACGUCCUGAGGGUGAAACUGGGGGAUCUUCGGACCUCACGCUCUCAGAUGAGCCUAGGUGGGAUUUGCUAGCUGGUGGGGUAAAGGGCUACCAAGGCGACGAGCCGUAACUGGUCUGCGAGGAGGAUCAGUCACACGGGAACUGGGACACGGUCCAGAGGCCUACGGGAGGCAGCAGAGGGGAAUAUGAGACAAUGGGGGAGAGCCUGAUCCAGCGAUGCCGCGUGUGUGAAGAAGAUGUUCGGAGUGUAAAGCACUUUAAGUUGGGAGAAAGGGCAGUAAGUUAAUACCUAGCGGUUUUGACGUUACCAACAGAAUAAGCACCGGCUAACUUCGUG
rnacentral:rRNA from 1 species